GGUUGUGGCUCAGUGGCAGAGUGUUUGCCUCACACGUGUGAGGCUCUGGGUUCAAUCCUCAACACCA
rnacentral:tRNA from 1 species